rnacentral:rRNA from 1 species
UACGUAGGGGGCUAGCGUUGUCCGGAUUUAUUGGGCGUAAAGAGCUCGUAGGCGGUGUGUCGCGUCGGUCGUGAAAACUUGGGGCUUAACUCUGAGCUUGCGGUCGAUACGGGCAUCACUGGAGUUCGGCAGGGGAGACUGGAAUUCCUGGUGUAGCGGUGAAAUGCGCAGAUAUCAGGAGGAACACCGGUGGCGAAGGCGGGUCUCUGGGCCGAUACUGACGCUGAGGAGCGAAAGCGUGGGGAGCGAACAGG